rnacentral:rRNA from 1 species
GACGAACCGUCCAAACGUUAUUCGGAAUUACUGGGCUUAAAGGGUGCGUAGGCGGUGCGGAAAGUUGGGUGUGAAAUCCCUCGGCUUAACCGAGGAACUGCGCUCAAAACUACCGUGCUGGAGGAAGACAGAGGUGAGCGGAACUAAGGGUGGAGCGGUGAAAUGCGUUGAUAUCCUUAGGAACACCGGUGGCGAAAGCGGCUCACUGGGUCGUUUCUGACGCUGAGGCACGAAAGCUAGGGGAGCGAACGGG